rnacentral:rRNA from 1 species
UACGAAGGGGGCUAGCGUUGCUCGGAAUCACUGGGCGUAAAGCGCACGUAGGCCGAUUGUUAAGUCAGGGGUGAAAUCCUGGAGCUCAACUCCAGAACUGCCCUUGAUACUGACGGUCUCGAGUCCGGGAGAGGUGAGUGGAACUGCGAGUGUAGAGGUGAAAUUCGUAGAUAUUCGCAUGAACACCAGUGGCGAAGGCGGCUCACUGGCCCGGUACUGACGCUGAGGUGCGAAAGCGUGGGGAGCAAACAGG